CAGUCGCCACGGGAAUACGUAGGGUGCGAGCGUUAAUCGGAAUUAUUGGGCGUAAAGCGUGCGCAGGCGGUUUCUUAAGUCUGAUGUGAAAGCCCCCGGCUCAACCGGGGAGGGUCAUUGGAAACUGGGAAACUUGAGUGCAGAAGAGGAGAGUGGAAUUCCACGUGUAGCGGUGAAAUGCGUAGAGAUGUGGAGGAACACCAGUGGCGAAGGCGACUCUCUGGUCUGUAACUGACGCUGAGGAGCGAAAGCGUGGGGAGCGAACAGGAAUAGAUACCCCCGUAGUCCCUGUCUCUUAUAC
rnacentral:rRNA from 1 species